UGCAGAAUCCCGUGAACCAUCGAGUUUUUGAACGCAAGUUGCGCCCGAUGCCAUUAGGUUGAGGGCACGUCUGCCUGGGUGUC
rnacentral:rRNA from 3 species